GAACAUAACGCGAAACGGGCUAAAAUAUCACUCCCAAGCAGCAGAGAAGACAUAAUUUGUGUUUUGCGGGUUACAGAAGAAUUCUGAUAUAUCUUUCCUCCGGGUCACGAUUGGCGUAAAAGCCUCGUCUAAGAUCCAUUUUACUGCCGCCGCAGAGAAGUGCCCUCUGGGGCUUAUAAAUUGGAAUACCUCGCUGGAAACGACGUUUGGAAAAUUCCAAAUCACCCUUACCGUACGGCGGGGGCAUGAUCAGCAGAUUGUGCCCCACAUUAAUAUUGGCGUUUAAAUAAGCAAGAUCCAAGGCGUUUAAAAGGAGAUUCGACCCACAUAACCUACAGCGAAGGCAUCACGUGGCAUGGCAGUCUAAAC